AUGAAAAGUCGUUCUUUCUUCUUCAAAAAACAAGAAACACGCACACAUUGUGGUGUUGAGUGGGUCGCUAAAAAUCACGAAAUUGGCAUGCUCCAUCUGUUUGCUACGGCUUUUUUCUCUCUAUUGAAUUCUGCAGCUCCGAGGAAAGAUCAUCAGGCUGGAGAGGAGAAUGGAAGAAACCAGUCACAUCCACCAAAGAGUGUUGUGAAGAAAAUUAUGUACAUUCGACAUACAUUGCAGAACUUUAUAACACUAUAUCCAACAUUCCUACAAUUAUUUUGGCUCUGAUUGGUCUUAUAAAUGCUUUAAAACAGCGAUUUGAGAAAAGGUUCAGUAUCCUUCAUCUAUCAAACAUGACACUUGCCAUUGGGAGCAUGUUGUACCAAGCCACACUACAAUGAGUGUAAGUAAGCAUUGAUCUCAAUUUUUGUGUUGAAAUUUAUGCUUGCUUUACUGAUUGGUUCUAUUUUAUUUCCAACUAGUUUGUAUGAUACAAAAUGAGGUUGCCAUUUUAUAAAUUGUUUGUUACAUAACUGAAGAAUUCCGAAUUUAGGGAUAUAUCACUGUACUUGCCAUGGGUAAAUAUUGAACCAGAAAUAUUGGUUUAUAAUUAAUACUUAUUGGUAACGAUGAUGGGUUUUUGAUUUUUUUCAUUUUGAGUAUUCAAGAACUUUCAAUCUCCUGCUUUGGAAAAAAAUGAACUUUCAAUUUUUGGAGGAGAUUAAAUGUCACUGAAUGUGAAAGCUAGUUGUUGCUGUAAUUGCUUGUCUCUAUUGGUGUCCAUUUUUCUAUUAAAAAAAAAUUAUGAAUACCCUUAGUCCCUAAAUUAAAUUUUGCAACUGCAAUUAGAAGUGAUUUUGCAUUAUGAACUUAACGACCCUUGUCUCUAAUGUUACAUAAGUUUUGUGAGGGAUGGAUGCCUCAAUGACCGUUGAGGAAAAUGCAUUAUGAAUUCUUUAUUCAUAAUGGAAAAGUUGGAUUGUGGCUUUCAAAGAAAAGUAAUUUUAAUAUGAAAUCUAUUCAAAAUGUGGAUGGAUAGACUUUGUUCCAUGAUUUUUGUAAGGGUGGGCCAAAAUUUUUGGAUGAUGCCUUAAUGUGAAAGCUAGUAGUUGACCCUAGUCCCUAAAUGCUAUUAUCUAUUGUGCUUUGAGGGUAUAAACCCUAAAUCAAGAACAUUCAAUCUUCUGCUUAAUAAAAGGUAUAACUUUACCCAUUUUUCUCAUUCUUGAUCAUUCAAUCUUCUGCUUGAGAAAAACCUUAAGUGUGCAAAAAUGUGUUUCUGUGCCAAGAUAUCAUGUUUACGAUUGAUGCCUGUUGUGAUACUGAUUUUUUAAUUCUUGAUAAUUCAAUUCAAGAACAUUGAAUUUCUGCUUGAUGAAAGCACAAAACUUUAAUUGAGGAAACAUGUUUUGUCCCAAUAACUUUCAAUCUUCUGCUUAUUGGAAUCUUCAUUCCAACAUAUUUGCCCUGUUUGGUAUAUAAUUAAUACCUAUUGGUAACGAUGAUGGGUUUUCAAUUGUUUCAUUUUGAGUAUUCAAGAACUUCCAAUCUUCUGCUUUGGAAAAAAAUGAACUUUCAAUUUUUGGAAGAGUUUAAAUGUCACUGAAUGUGAAAGCUAGUUGUUGCCGUAAUUGCUUGUCUCUAUCGGUGUCCACUUUUCUUUUAAAAAAAAUUAUGAAUUUUUAUUCAUAAUAAUGCAUGAAUGGAUAUAUAUUCUGCUUCGAUGACCCUUAGUCCCUAAAUUCAAUUUUGCAACUGCAAUUAGAAGUGAUUUUGCAUUAUGAACUUAAUGACCCUUGUCUCUAAUGUUAAAUAAGGUUUUGUAAGGGAUGGAUGUCUCAAUGACCGUUGAGGAAAAUGCAUUAUGAAUUCUUUAUUCCUAAUGUAAAAGUUGGAUGGUGGCUUUCAAAGAAAAGUAAUUUUAAUAUGAAAUCUAUUCAAAAUGUGGAUGGAUAGACUUUGUUCCAUGAUUUUUGUAAGGGUGGCCCAAAAAUAUUGGAUGAUGCCUUACUGUGAAAGCUAGUUGUUGACCCUAGUCCCUAAAUCCUAUUAUCUAUUGUGCUUUGAGGGUAUAAACCCUAAAUCAAGAACAUUCAAUCUUCUACUUAAUAAAAGGUAUAACUUUAUCCAUUUUUCUCAUUCUUGAUCAUUCAAUCUUCUGCUUGAGAAAAACCUUAAUUGUGCAAAAAUGUGUUUCUGUGCCAAGAUAUCAUGUUUAUGAUUGAUGCCUGUUGUGAUACCGGUUUUUUAAUUCUUGAUAAUUCAAUUCAAGUACAUUCAACUUUCUUCUUGAUGAAAGCAUGAAACUUUAAUUGAGGAAACAUGUUUUGUCCCAAUAAUUUUCAAUCUUCUGCUUAUUGGAAUCUUCAUUCCAACAUAUUUUCCCCGUUUGGUUUAUAAUUAAUACCUAUUGGUAACGAUGAUGGGUUUUCGAUUUUUUCAUUUUGAGUAUUCAAGAACUUUCAAUCUUCUGCUUGGGAAAAAAAUGAACUUUCAAUUUUUGGAAGAGAUUAAAUGUCACUGAAUGUGAAAGCUAGUUGUUACCGUAAUUGCUUGUCUCUAUCGGUGUCCACUUCUCUUUUAAAAAAAAAUUAUGAAGUUUUAUUCAUAAUAAUGCAUGAAUGGAUAUAUAUUCUGCUUUGAUGACCCUUAGUCCCUAAAUUCAAUGUGGCAACUGCAAUUAGAAGUGAUUUUGCAUUAUGAACUUAAUGACCCUUGUCUCUAAUGUUACAUAAGGUUUUGUAAGGGAUGGAUGCCUCAAUGACCGUUGAGGAAAAUGCAUUAUGAAUUCUUUAUUCAUAAUGGAAAAGUUGGAUGGUGGCUUUCAAAGAAAAGUAAUUUUAAUAUGAAAUUUAUUCAAAAUGUGGACGGAUAGACUUUGUUCCAUGAUUUUUGUAAGGGUGGCCCAAAAAUGUUGGAUGAUGUCUUAAUGUGAAAGCUAGUUGUUGACCCUAGUCCCUAAAUGCUAUUAUCUAUUGUGCUUUGAUGUACCCUUAGUCCCUAAAUGCAAUUUUGCACCUACGGUAUGAAGUGAUUUUGCAAAGAAAUUGUUUCCUUGUGCAAUUUACGAAGCUGCCAUAUAACUACAACUCUAUAAUUAGCUUAACAAAAGGACCUUUAUACUAUGUUAUGUAUUUGGGAGAUUGGUGUUUCAUGCAGUCUAAUUUCGUUUUUGAGAACUUAUUCAGCCUAUGAGAUUUGCUGCUUUUCCAAAAUUUGAGCUUGAGUCUGGAUUUGUGCUGGGGAAAUCUUAUGUUGACCUUCUUCAGAAGCGCUUUAGUGCCUCUCUGUGCAAGCUUGUUGAUAAAUAUGCUGAAAUCUUAGCAAGUCAAGGGUUGCUGACCAUAGUAAUGGAGUAUCUAAAACUUUUGGGUUCUGAAGAACUUUCGAUAGAACUUGUUGUGAUAUUGAAGGACCGAAUUGCACUGUCUACGGAACCUGGUAAACUUUUUCUUGGAUUUCUAUAUGGCAUGGUUAAAAAAAUAGAGGAAAAUGAUACAAAUUGAAUGCUAUUUAUUAGCAAGUGACUCUUCAAAUGCCAUUUCUCGUUGAGGAAUACCUCAAGUACUAGCAUUUUUGUGUUUUUUAUUCUAGUGGGAUAGCAUUACCAUUAUAAUUGCAUAGUGAACAUCAGUGCGUAGUUAUAUUUUGCUGUUAUUAAACGUGCAACAUAUACACCUAACCAUAUUUCAGGAAGAUAUUGCCGGUUUUAGAAAGACCUAACUACUCAUGUGAUUACUUAUUGAUCACUCUUUUAAUAUUGUUAAUAACUAGUAGAGUGGGUACUUAUUGUUCCCGAACUGCCUCUUGUUGCUGAAUACCCUAGCUCCGACCGUUUCAACCGUUUAUCUUUGGGGAGAAACAGUUCUUCUUCUGAAGUUUUUUCUCUCGGUCUCGUUGCUGGUGGAUUAUGUGAUGGAAACAUUGAUAUCUGGAGUCCUCUCACUCUGAUUCGGUAAUUUGGUUUUUUUUCUUUCAAUCUUGCGUGUUGUUUUUUCCAUCUUAAAAAUUGAUGAUUUCGUUUAAUAGAUUGUGAAAUGCAUUGGUUGGAGAUAUGAUUAUAUAUCAGUAAUUCGGAUUUCGGAGAAGUAGAAAUGUUUUUCUGACGUUAUGAAUUGAUCUUGGAAUUUGCUGAUUAAAAAUUGAUGAUUUCGUUUAAUAGAUUGUGAAAUGCAUUGGUUGGAGAUAUGAUUAUAUAUCAGUAAUUCGGAUUUCGGAGAAGUAGAAAUGUUUUUCUGACGUUAUGAAUUGAUCUUGGAAUUUGCUGAAAAUUUUGUUUUAUAUAGUUCAGUUACAAUUUUCACUUAGUGCUAAAUGCUUUGGUGGUUUAAGUCUGGAGAAUUUUGGUUCAUUUUAAUAUAUACUUUCUCUGCUCGUUAUUGUAAGGCAUAAGGGACCGGUAUGUUCUUCUCUGUUUUUGUGAGCCUACUUGCUGCAAGUUUUUAUCGUCUUCUUUGUUCUCUGGCAUAUAUGUAGUGUUUGCUAUUGAAAUCAUAUCUUCGACAUUCUUAUAUCUCAGGUUUGUGGACUUGAGUUUAAUACAAUUGCACCCAAUUUUUGUGAUUUGAUGCAAGUAAAGGAUAAUUUUGGCUGCCAUUUAUACAUAAUCUAUGUGUUGGGAAACUCAAAACUAAAUUCCCGUACUAGAAUGGUUGUCGAGUGUCAUGAAAAUGGAGCAACACAGUAGUUUCUGUUUGAGUAAACAAAUUAUUGAGCUUCUUGGCUAGCUUCAUGUUUUUCUUUUGUUUGGUUGAAGUUGUUGAUAAAAUACACCUACAUUAUAAUUCAGUAUGUAGGUUCAUAGCUUUAUUGAUCAGUGUUUUAAUUUUAGUGUCGCAUGAUACAAUUUUCUCAAUUUCUUUCUAAUGAUUUUGUUUUUCUGAUAAAUUUUCUCCGCUUGGAGGAAAAUGAAAGUUCUCUCGUUGGACAACUUGUAAGGCAUAAGGGACCGGUUCGUGGACUUGAGUUUAAUACAAUUGCACCCAAUCUUCUUGCAUCUGGUGCUGAGAAUGGUGAAAUUUGCAUAUGGGAUUUGACCAAUCCUUCAGAGCCUACACAUUUUCCACCAUUGAAGGGUAGUGGCUCUGCUUCCCAGGGGAAGUUUCAUUCUUAUCUUGGAAUAGUAAAGUGCAACACAUAUUAGCAUCCACUUCAUAUAAUGGGACCACUAUGGUUUGGGACCUAAAGAAGCAAAAGCCAGUGAUAAGCUUUGCAGACACAGUUAGACGGUGGUGCUCAGCUUUGCAGUGGAAUCCUGUGUUGCUACACAACUUGUUGUUGCAUCAGAUGAAGACAGAUAUCCUUCUAUAGGGGUAUAGUCUCUGCGGAUUGUCUGUUUAUUUUAAAGGCAAUAUGUCUGUGUAUUGACUUUAUAUGAGCAUGUUGGCGCAAUUUUGGGAUAUGAGGAAUAUAAUGACACCGAUAAAAGAGUUUUUGGGGCACACUAGAGGCGUAAUUGCAAUGUCAUGGUGUCCCAAUGAUAGCUCUUAUUUGCUUACCUGUUGCAAAGAUAGCCGAACCAUAUGCUGGGACACUAUUUCUGGAGAGAUUGCAUAUGAAUUGCCAGCCGGAACUAACUGGAACUUUGAUGUGCAUUGGUAUUCUAAGAUACCUGGAGUAAUAGCAUCUUCCUUUGGAAAAAUAGGCAUAUACAAGGUUCAACAAUCAUACGCAAUGUUUCCUUUGCCAAGUUCCUCAUCUCAAGAACAAUACCAUGCGCAACCAUCAAUGCAUGCACUAUCAUUUGCAUCUCAUAGCCAUUCUGACUCAUCUAUCAAUGUUGCUGAUCAACCUUUAGAUUUUGCACCUAGGUAUAGUCGUGAUGGUGACAUGCAAAUUCAAUCAACUUAUAAUCAUCAUCAUUCCGGUUCUUCAAUGAAUAACUAGGGUGCUCCAGUGGCACCUGGUGUUGGUUAUCUACCAAUACCUCCAAGUCUUCCCUCAGGGGUCAGGGCCACAGCACAAUCCUUCUAUUACCACUCCUGGUCAUGUAGCAGCACCAUAUGGAAGGUUUCCUGGACCUGGUCACCCUCUAACAAUUCCACCAAAUGGUGCACCCUAUUCUCUUAGUACAGUAGCUACGAUUCAUCCUACUGCAGCUUUCUCUGCUGAUAAAUACGGCGUUUCUGGUGUUCCUGAACGCCCUAAGAAGGCACCAGUCCCUAACUGGCUUAGAGAGGAAAUAAAGAAAACAGUCAUUGCCGCUCCUUCAGCAGAUCACCCAAAAGUUGAACAAACACUUGUGCGUGAUGGCAUUGAUAAAUCAUAUGCGAAGGCUGAUGAUGAGACGGAUAGUAGAAGUAUUGAUUUGUCUAUAUCAGCUGAGGACGAAGAGGUCGAAGUUGAUAGAACUGCAGAAAUCAACCAAGAAAUAAAAAAAAAAUCUUUUGAAGGUUACUGAUAAAUUGUUUGAUGAGAUUGCAACCAAAGUUCUUAGUGAAGACGAUCUGCCUGCUGAAGUGGGUCAUAAUGUUGCCACUUCAAACCAUAAUGCAUCAACCUCUCCACCCUCUGCUCCGGUUGCUAAGGCAACUGCUAAAGUUUUAGGUCCAGUUAAAGCAAAGGAAAUAGAGACUGAUGGUGCCAAUGAAAAAUCUAAUUCAAGCUCUCCUGGAGAUGUUUUAGGUCUUGGAAAUUAUGGCUCUGAUGCCGAUGAUGAAAUUGAGAGUUCCACUGUGCCUGCUCCUGCAAAAGAUGAUGCGUAUAUGGUGAAUAAUAUAGUUAAAACCAACUCAUCGCUAUCCAGAAAUAGCAAUGGUGAUGCUAUUGAUCAAUGACAUGAUGCUAUGAUGACCGAAGAAUCUGAUCAUUCAUAUUCCAAGAUAGUUUAUAAAGAUGCCAGGGAUAAUGGGCUUGAUGCAAUUGAAAGAAGCCACAAAAGAUUUAAUGGUUAUAGCUCGAAAGACAUGUCAGGGGUGCCAAGAUCUGAAUUGUGGAAAGAAUGGUGUGGAGAAAGCAACAGAAGAUCAUCUAGGAAAGGAAAGCAGAAGAAAAUAAGAAAAAAAAAUUACCGACAUAACAAGAGUUCUUCCGAAAAGGAUUUUAAGGAGGUAAAAAGUAGUCACAAACAAGUCCAGGACAGAUGAAAAAAGUGACGAGAGAAAAAGAAGAAAGGAUGAAAGAAAUCAGAAAAAGGAACAAACAGAUUACAUCAGUGAGUCAAAUGAAAGAUCGAAAGAGCACAAUGUAAGGCAUGGGGAGAAGUCAAAGGAAUCAGAAUCAAGGAAAAGGUCCUCCCAUGUUGAUGUCAAGGAUGAUAGGAAGGGAGGAGAAAAACCUCACAGAGGUCGUACCACUGAAGACACUAGCCGAAAAAAGGAGCAUUCAAACGAUAAGGGGGAGCAAAAAUCUAGGCGAAGUGACCAUGACAGGCACAAAAGAUGGCGUUCUUCGUCAGUAAGCAGUAGAGGUAGAACCAGCAAGUAUCAUAGUCAUGCCGAUGAUUCAAGUGGUGAAGGCUCAGAUGGCUCGAAAAGGAAGCCGCGUUCAAGAAAACGUGAAUUGUCACCAUCUCCGGUCAGGUCUAAAAGAAGUGUUGCCGUGGUUCUGGAGAGACUGAUUUUAUUGCAGGUGAUGCUUUAAUUAUUUAAUUCUAUCAAAUAAGUUACUCACUACAGUAUAAUAUUUACUUUCUUAUAAUUCAUCUGCAUGUAUCAUGCUCAGUCUAUGUAGAUUUUGUUUCUAAGCAUUUGGUGGUGUAUGCUUUUUUUUUGUGGCAUUUGGUGGUGUAUGCUUUUUUUUUUUUGUGGCAUUUGGUGGUGAAAUGACACAUGCUGGUGGUGUGUCUUUUGCCUUUGGAGGUAAACUUGUGUCAUUUCGUCCUAGAGGCAAGAUUUUAGUACUUUGAGUAUAUUUCUUUGUCCAUGUUCUGUAACCUUUCAGUUGAAUUCAUCUUAUUUAUAAUUUUCCAGGUUUAUGUGCAUAACAUGGUCACUGAAGACGGUCACCAUACUGGUAGUUGAUAUUAUUACAUCUUACAAUCUAUUUAAAUUUCAUAUACAACAAAAAUUGUCAAAUUCCUAUCAGAUAUUUUUUUUUUAUAAAUCUCUUCCAUUUGUGAUUCAUUUCUAUUUUCAGGUUGUUUCAGCGAUGGUGAGCAAUGAUCUCUUAAGCCUUGUGAACACUAGGCCUCUAAAAUUCUGGAAAGAAACCCUUUGCUCUUCUUGCAGUAGAAAGACUUGAAAACCACUGCUUUUGAAAAUUCUCAAUCACAUGGUGGAUCCUUUUAUGGGGCUGGUAAUUCCAAUUAUAAUAUGAAUUAUUAUUAGGUAGUUACUCUAACUUUGUUCCUUGGCAUUUUUCGUUUGGUGCAAAGCAUAGUGUUUAGUGGUCAAUGAGUUUGAUUGAGUUAUCAGUUGUCACCCUUAGGUUUGAUGGGAAAACAGAAUGUGAACCUACAUAAUGUCCAUCAUUAAGUUACCUUAACUACUCAUCAAAGAUAUUAAACAAUUUUGACCAAAGGUCAAAUUCUCAUUUUUCAGUUUUCUAAUUUGGUUUGAUUUUAAACAACUUGAAGGUAAUUAAUUUGGCAUUAUGAUUCAUUUUCUCAUUCUUCAAUAUAAACACAACAUUCAUCAAUCUUCUGCUUGAAAAAUGGUAUAACUUUACCCAUUUUUCUCAUUCUUGAUCAUUCAUGAACAUUCAAUCUUAUGCUUGAGAAAAACAAAAAAAAAAAGCUUAAGUUUGCAAAGUGUUCUGUUCCAAGAUCCUGUUAAACCUUAAGUGUGCAAAGCGUUCUGUUCCUAGGUCCUGUUUGAUGUACCAAUAUUUCAAUAGACAGUUUUUUGUCUGUUACGAUAAUGGAGUUUCACACGUUUUUUGAAAUUUCUGGAUAAAUUACUUAAUGACUGUAGUCCCUGAAUGUGAAAAAGUUAGUUGUUGCCUUAAUUGCUACUCAAGCAACUGUUUCUAUCAGUGUUCUCUUUUCUAUUAAUUUUUAUUCACAAUAAUGAAUGGAUAUAUAUAUAUUCUGCCUUGUUGCAACUGCAAUUAAAAGUGAUUUUGCAUUAUGAACUUAAUGACCCUUGUCCCUAAUGUUUCAUAUGUUUUGUAAGGGAUGAAUGCUUCAAUGACCUUUGAUGAAAAUGCAUUAUGAAUGCUUUCUUGAUGCCCAAAAAGUGUUGUAUAAAUUACUUAAUGAUCGUAGUCCCUGAAUGUGAAAAAGCUAGUUGUUGCCUUAAUUGCUACUCGAUCAAUUGCCUCUAUCGGUGUUCCCUUUUCUAUUAAAAAAAAUAUGAAUGUUUAUUCAUAAUAAUUCAUGAAUAGAUAUAUAUUCUGCUUUGAUGACCCUUAGUCCCUAAAUUCAAUUUUGCAACUGCAAUUAGAAGUGAUUUUGCAUUAUGAAUUUAAUGACCCUUGUCCCUAAUGUUUCAUAAGUUUUGUUAUGGAUGGAUGCUUCAAUGACCUUCAAACGAAAAUGCAUUAUGAAUGCUUUCGAAGCACAUUGUGGAAAAAUUGGAUGGUGGCUUUCAAAGCAAAGGAAUUUUAAUAUGAAUUUUAUUGUCUUUUUAUGAGCGUAAUUGUGAAAUUGUCACUAGUUGGUAUGGUAUACAUGAGCUCACUAACUCCAAAUUUCACAGUAAGAUGGAUAUACUUUGUUCCAUGGUUUUUGCAAGGGAUUGUCUUGGUGGCCCAAAAAACGCUGGAUGAUGCCUUAAUGUGAAAGCUGGUUAUUGCCUUAAAUGCAAUUUUAAUAUAAAAUUUCAUAGCCUAUUGAUAAGGGGUUUCAAGAGAAUUCUCCAAAGAAGAAACGAAUCAACUAAAGAAAAGUACAAAGAAACUAACUUUUUGGCACAACCUCUCUGGUAUGCAGCCUACAAACUUGUUGUGAGUGAUGACAAUUCUUUCAGACAAUAUUAUUAUGCAACAGGUAUGCUCUGUGCCGAGAACCUUGAAAGAUAUUCUCGUUCGUUUGCUAUGGUAAUUUUGGGAACUUUCUUUCCACACAUAUAUGCAUUCAUGCAUGUUAAGAUACCCAUUUUCUCAUCCUUGAUUGAAAAAUAUGCAAUCUUUAUCUUGAUAAAAACAAAACAAACUUAAUAAUUGAGCAAAUGUGUUUUGUCCCAAGACCCCUGUUUGCUACUCUUUUUGUUUGCCUAGGUAAUUUUGGUACUUUGAUUGCAAUAUAUUUGCAUUGGUACAUGUUGGGAUACUCAUUUUUUUUCAUUUUUUAUUUAGUCAAGAACAUUCAAUCUUCUGCUUGAGAAAAACGUAGAGUCCUACUCCUACCCAUUUUUCUCAUUCUUGAUUAUUCAAAAGCAUUCAAUCUUCUGCUUGCGAAAAACAAAAUAUAGCCUUAUUUGAGCAAACAGUGUUCUGUCCUAAGAUCUUGUUUGAUUCCAAUAUUUUGAAAGAUUAACUUUUUCGUUUGCUAUGCGGUAAUUUUUGAACUUUCAUUUCAAUAUAUUUGCUUUGAUAGUUUGAUACUUGUUGGCAUACCCAUUUUUUAUUUAUAAUUAUUCAAGUACAUUCAACUUUCUGCUUGAAAAACAAUAGAACAUUACCCAUUAUUCUCAUUCUUGAUUAUUCAAGAACAUUCCAUCUUCUGCUUGCUUGAGAAAAAAAGUGAAUUUUCAAUUCAGUAAAUCAAAAUUUUAAAGGGUAUAAAAACCUAUAAGACUGAAUAAUACGGAAUUUUUUUUUCAUUAUAUGAAAAAAAAAAGAGGGUGGAGUAUAUUGCCCUAGUAGUAACCCCAAAUUUGACCGUUGAAAUCGACGAAUAUACUUUGUUUUAUAAAUUUUGGAAUGGGUGAAUCAUAGAUGCCUCAAUGACCAUAGAGUAAAACGUUGGAUGAACUUAAUGACCCUAGUCAUUAAAUGUGAAAGCUAGUUGUCGCCUUAAGUGCCACUCAAGCAAUUGUCUUUAUCGAUUUUCUCUUUUUUGUGAAUGGAUAUCUAUUUUUGUAAGUGAUUUUCUUGAUGGCCCAAAAAUGCAGGAUGAUGCCUUAUUGUGAAAGCUAGUUGAUGAGAAGCAAUUGUCUCUAUCUAUUAUUGCAGAAGUUUUUGUUUUAUUUCAUUGUGAUUGUUUGUAUUGCCUUUAUGAUUUCAAUCAUGGUUGAAUUAUUUAGAUUGAUAUAACAACAUAUUCUUAUACAUAGAGUAACUUUGUUCAACAGUAGUUCACUAGUGCAGUUCUGUAAUAGCAGACUGUCAUCCUUUUGGAUUGAUUAUGAGUCCACCGUCCCAUAGAUGUGGAGAGACUCUAGAGAGAUGAUUGAAGCUUUGGUUGGAGGAUAGAAACUAGGGGACAAUAACAGAUUGUUACAGUUCCCUUUGAUAAGAACUAGAACAGAUUGGGUGAAGGAGAAUUAUUCGUCCCCGGAGUUUAUUAAAUUUGAAAAGAAAAGAAAAGAAAAGAUACACUGAGGAAGAUACUCCCCACUACUGGUGAUUCCCAGCACUAAACAAAAGCCAAAAGAAAAAGAUCCUUCUAAAGGGGGAGGAGACUUUCUGUACAAGGGAAUAGGGCCAUAAGGGAGGUCUUUUAGUAACUGACUCCUAAAACCAAGGUCAGCUAACAACCCCUAACUACCUUGGUAACUAACUUUUUAAAACAAAAAACAAACUAAAAACAUAACUAAUACAAAGGGUAUUUCUAGAAUUUUUUCCUAACAUAAACUCUUAGAGGUUGGGCAUCUAAAUUAGUGGUCCUAUCAUAGGUGCUGGGAACUUUCUAUUGAAUCCCACCUUUUAAGGUUGAUUUGUUAACAGGAAGGCUUUUUAUGUCGGAAGUUAAUGUGGGAAAAAGUUUUCUUAAUAUGGUAAUUCUAUGAUUUAAGUUUGCCUUUUCCCCUCUAUAAUUAGAUUAACAAGAGGACCUUUUUCACCAUGUUAUGUAUUUGGGAGAUUUGGUGCUUAAUGCAGUCCUAUUUUCGUUUUUUA